ACCCCACACUAUUAAGCCGACAGUAUCAGUGUAUUCCAAUUGAAUCUGUGUGCUCGUUGUGGGAACAGCAAAGUCUGGUAAUUGUGUAUGGUUGUAUUGAUUGCGUAGAUACAAUCAAAGAAUUUACUCAGGACA